UAUGGGAACCGUUGGAAAAGAUAAGUGGAAGUUUUUCCCAUCGGUUUAGCAUUGUAGCAAAAAAACUGUUGGGAUAGUUAUUGCCAACGUUGAAUAACCGUUGGCAAUACUAAAUAGAUUUUUUUUAAAAAAAAAUAGUUUAUUCCGACGGUUUUUAACUGUUGGGAAUGGUAAGUAUUCCCAACGGUUUAUAACUGUGGAGAAUAGUUAGUAUACCCAACUGUUGGGAAAAGAUGUAUUUUAUAUCUAAUUAAUAAUUUAUUCAAAAAAGAAAAAAAAUUGGGCUGAAACUAUUGGGACAGGUGGUUCGAAUAUUGGACCAAGCUGAAAAUUUCAGACUAAUACCCAAAAUCUCAUCUCUCUCUCUCUCGACAAUAACCCUAAGUUUCAGACCUCACCACAAUGAUUUUGUCCGACGAUUCACGAUCUUGGGAGACGAUUCACAAAUCUCAUCUCCUUUCUUCUCAGAUUCUGACGGCAGCUCCUCACCACGAGCUUGGGAGACGAUUCACAAGUCUCUCCGCUUCUCCCGCGUGUCUUCCUCCACCAGCGGCCUCCCUUCUCUUUUUCGUUGUCGAUGUCAACAACGGAAAAAAAAAAACCAGCAGCAAAUAGGCGACGCGGUACCUCUCUCUCUCUCUCUCUCUCUCCCUGUCGGAUUCAAUGGCACCUCGUCGUUGAGCUUCAAUUCCGGUGAUAUCCCUUUCUCUAUUUAUGGGUUUCAUGAAUGCUUUGCACACAUAUAUAUAUAAUUGUUCAUUACUGUAUAAUUACACACCAGACUUGGGUUUAGAACAUAUUCCUUUGGAAUUUUAGUUCAGAACAUACACUCAUAAUGUGUUUCUUAUCUUGUCAAUAGCUGUGAGUGAAGGUACUAUGGUUCAAUUUGUUAUGUUUCUUCUUUGUUUAUUAGACUUUGAAAAAUAAAUAAAUAAAUGUAUGAUACAUAAUCAAAUAAAUUUCUUAAAUAAUUAUAAGAGAGAUGUUAUACCAUACUCAUACAAAUCUCUUCUCCCUUCCACGCUCAACAGCUCUUCCCACCCUCUGAGCUUUGUUAUUUCUCCUUUCGCUUGAGACGAAAAUGCAGAAGUGUAGUUGUUGUUGUGGUACUGGAGCAAGAUUAGGAAUAUAUGUUGCAUGUUUGGAGGUGUUGUCGUGUGUCCCCUCCAAGUGCUUGGUUUUGAUUCAAGAAAAGUGUGUCGUCUGCUCAAGCAAUUAUCAAGUUGAUCAAAUGGAUUCAGCGAAGAAGAGGAUUAAAAAGUGAAGAAGCAGGUGUAUAUAUUGGUAACUACUGCUCUUAUAUAUAGAAUCUGGUAUACUAGGAAUGAUAAGUAUUGGAAUCAUUCAAAUAAUUUUGUUGAUUCAAUUUUUCAUCAUACAAAGAUAAAUAUGAAAGGGAGGCUUGCAGGAAUUAGCUUCAAUAAAGUUAGUUAAAUAGAUAGAGAGUGAAUGGAAAUGUUGUAAAUGUUACAAGUCUAUUAUCAGGCCUUUAAGGUACUGUUGAACAAUUGUAAAGUUUCAAGUUGCGGAAUAUAUAUUUAAAUGAUGAUUCAUAAAAAAAUAUAUUAGUGCAGUGAAAUAAUAAUUUGAAUUUAUAUUUCAUGAUUUUUA